CGGGGCGUGGCGCAGCUUGGUAGCGCGCCUGCUUUGGGAGCAGGAAGUCGCAGGUUCAAAUCCUGUCGCCCCGA
rnacentral:tRNA from 2 species